rnacentral:rRNA from 1 species
GACAGAGGUGCCGAGCGUUAGGCGGAAUCACUGGGCUUAAAGCGUGUGUAGGCGGACCGUUAAGUACCUUGUGAAAUCCCACGGCUCACCCGUGGAACGGCUGGGUAGACUGGCGGUCUUGAGCGGCCUAGGGGCAGAUGGAACAGACGGUGGAGCGGUGAAAUGCGUAGAUAUCGUCUGGAACGCCAAAGGUGAAGACAGUCUGCUGGGGGCCUGCUGACGCUGAGACACGAAAGCCAGGGGAGCGAACGGG